CGCCUAACCCUCGUAGCUGAUCUAUGAGGUAUGGCAGAAAAACCCCAUCCUUGAUACUGAGCUCCUCGUUUAGCAACUCAGGGAUGGGUCAUAUCCGAAAGGAUGUGAGCGAUCAAAAGGUUGC
rnacentral:sRNA from 1 species